UCAAGUCUCAUGAUCCUAAUUAUUGUGCCGCUUUCCCCAAAGGCCGAGGACCCGUCCAAGUUAUAGACCGGCUCUAGACUGUCCGGCUGGCGGGAUCGAAGCCGGAGGAGGAAGGGAGCAAGAAAAAAGAUAUGGGGCAAAGGCAAUAGACGAGCCGGCAUGCAAAGGUUGUUUGAAGCAAACACAUGCAUACAUUACAUUGAAGCAAGAGGCCCACGACCGCAAAGUUCAAUACAAGCAGAAACUUACACCCCUAGUGGGUGAAAUUUGAGUACUCAACAAAGCAGGAAAUAGAAAGCAAGUCUAGCUGGUGGAGGCACCGUGUGCUCCAAUCGUGGCACCGAUGCCCGCCUCCUCGGUGUCGGCAUACACACCGGCACUGGAGCCAUUCUCCUUACCACCUGUCUUGUCGGUGCUGCCCUUCGGGUCACCGAGGGGCAGCGCGUAAUCGCCUUCAAGGAGCGGCGUUCCACCAGCGGCUCGCUCCGAGACGUACAUGUCCCAGGCAGCAUACGAUGCAAGGUCACUUGCCCGAGCAGCCCGGGGCUCGGCGAAUGCUGCGAGCUCCGCCUUCGUGCCCGCUCGACGGGUGGCCAGCAACCCUAGGUCUAGGCUUGGGUGCGACGACAUCAUGAAGCUGAGUGCCAUCUCCGCUCCAGGCAUUGACGCGCGUCGGCCCGGCCUCCAGCCAUAGCGCGAGCCGACUCAUGAUCUGGGGCCGUACCGCGCCCGACAAAAGGGUCCGAGCCAAGCUCAGGUCGUCCCUCUAGAGCCGGUGCAUAAAACUUACCACCCGGUUCACGCGGACCCGGGCACCAAUUCGAACCUCCUCCAUGGUCCAGCUCGCAAGCGUCCCGAUGUGGACCCCCUCAAUUCGCUGCUCCACUCGGUGGGCCUCCACGGCCUCAUCUGCCACAUCCUGUGUUUAGGGGAAGACCCAUGGGAAGAGAAGAAAAAGGAAAGUAAGGGCGAAUGGCCGAGACUCCCGAAAACCAAGGCAAACGUAGGCAAAAAGAAGGAACUUACAUGCGAGGAGCUGGAUGAGUUCGCGCGCCUCCUGUUGCAUGCCCUGCUCCUUGACGGACCAGGCGCAGGCUCGCCUCUCAUACUCCUCCCUCGAUGCAUCCGCCUUCUCGAGGGUCCUCUCGAGUACCGCGUCC
rnacentral:lncRNA from 1 species